rnacentral:misc_RNA from 1 species
AAGUCGUAACAAGGUUUCCGUAGGUGAACCUGCGGAAGGAUCAUUACUGAGUAAAUUGGGUCUCUAUGGCCCAUACUCCCACCCUUUUGUGUACCUUACCAAAUGUUAAGUUGCCUUGGUAGGAAUCUAACCCCCUCCCUUUAACCAGGGAGAAAGCAGGCCUACCAUUGGAACUCUUUUAAAACUCUUUCUUAAAUGGAGUCGUCUGAGAAAUAAAUUCAAAUGAAUUAAAACUUUCAACAACGGAUCUCUUGGUUCUG